AGAGGCUUUUAUUGCAUUGUGCUUAUGGAUUGUAGUGGAUGUACCUAGCUCUCACUAAACCCUCAGUAGGUUACUUUGCUUUUACUUGGAAUGUUCCACCUGAGCUGCCAAUACUACGUAAUACCCUGGCCAUGCUCUCUUAGCUUGUAACAGGUCAUUGCUCACACUGUUAUUACUGCCCUGACUUGUAAUGCUUUUGAUAUUUAUAGAGCGAUGAAUUCUAGACUGUGUUGUUUUUACUGCUCUGAUUCUUAAUACUUUUGAUGUUUAUAGAGUGAAGAAUACUAGACUGUGCUGUACCUUACUGUUUACUGUAUUUGUAUAUGCAUCUGAGUCUGCUUUAUACCUACACCUACUUCCUAUUGAACUUACACUGUGAUUUACUUUUCUCUCUCUUUCUAUCCUACCAGCACUGUGUUCCAGCUUGGUCCUACACCAAACACCUGAAUAACACCAGCCAGGUCCUUUUGAACAGUAGUGUAAACUAAGACACUUACCCUUCAACUACAAGUGUUAUAGCUACGUUAUAGCUACAGAACUACAAGUGUUACCUUUCCUUGGGAAAGGCUUUGAAUCACUGUGUUCCAGCUUGGUCCUACACCAAACACCUGAAUAACACCAGCCAGGUCCUUUUGAACAGUAGUGUAAACUAAGACACUUACCCUUCAACUACAAGUGUUAUAGCUACGUUAUAGCUACAGAACUACAAGUGUUACCUUUCCUUGGGAAAGGCUUUGAAUCACUGUGUUCCAGCUUGGUCCUACACCAAACACCUGAAUAACACCAGCCAGGUCCUUUUGAACAGUAGUGUAAACUAAGACACUUACCCUUCAACUACAAGUGUUAUAGCUACGUUAUAGCUACAGAACUACAAGUGUUACCUUUCCUUGGGAAAGGCUUUGAAUCACUGUGUUCCAGCUUGGUCCUACACCAAACACCUGAAUAACACCAGCCAGGUCCUUUUGAACAGUAGUGUAAACUAAGACACUUACCCUUCAACUACAAGUGUUAUAGCUACGUUAUAGCUACAGAACUACAAGUGUUACCUUUCCUUGGGAAAGGCUUUGAAUCACUGUGUUCCAGCUUGGUCCUACACCAAACACCUGAAUAACACCAGCCAGGUCCUUUUGAACAGUAGUGUAAACUAAGACACUUACCCUUCAACUACAAGUGUUAUAGCUACGUUAUAGCUACAGAACUACAAGUGUUACCUUUCCUUGGGAAAGGCUUUGAAUGUACGUAUUGAUACUGUACCUCAUAUAUUAAUGUUAAAACUUCAGUUGAAUCUCAGGUAGCCUAGCCAGCAGCCGGACCCCCCCCCCACUACUCCUACCAUUCUGUAUACUACCCACUUGGCCCUCUAUACUCAAUCCUUCUCCCUGCCUAGACCUUCUCCCCUUGCAGGUUACCUAUCCCCUGCUAUAUACCUGCUGCCCACUAGGUGGCGUCCUCAUACUUUAUCUUUCUAACUCACUACCUUUCAACACUCUCUCUUCUAACCUACCCCUGCAUCUUUGCCCCCAGUACCUCUGUUCCCAGCCUUUUUUCGGGCUCACAUAUAUUAUCUCUUACUGUCCUAAGACAUCCUUAGAACUAUCAUCUCCAGUUUCCUCCUGCAUUUCUACCUUUUAACCUCUUA